AAGAAAAUGGAUAUGGUGUUGAGGAAGACAUUCCAACCUUACUAAUGGCUGCUAGCAGUAUGGAUGACAUUCUGGCUAUCACUGGAUUCAAUACAUGCUUGAGCAUAGUCUUCUCCUCGGGUAAACAAGAAAAUAUAACAACCACCAGAUCAUUCAUGACCUUUUUUAAAAAACUUACAUUGAAGAGAGGAUUCCUUGUUUUGACUACGUGUGUUUCUGCUGUCUUAGGCAGCCAACGUAUUGGUUUACAUGGAUCUGGAGGAUUAUGCACACUAGUGUUGAGUUUCAUUGCAGGGACAAAAUGGUCCCAAGAAAAGAUGAAAGUCCAAAAGAUUAUUACAAAUGUAUGGGAUAUUUUUCA
rnacentral:lncRNA from 1 species